UGUCCUUCAUGCUUGAGUGGUGCAGUAUUCUAGUCAGAGCUGUUAAUUCUGAAGGCGGGGCUAAAAAUCCGUCAAAGGGCACAUCGAUGAAGUUCCUGGUAUGGGCUUUCGACGCCCAGUCGGGGGUCUAUGCUGGGAGUAAGGAUUUGGGGGCGAUCCACAAAGGCAUGUGGGCGUUGACCCUCUAUCCGUGGAGACCUAAAUUAUUGCAAUGAUUUAGGAUGAACCUGCAAUGUGGUAGUUCGUCUGCUACGUGCAGUGUAGCCUGCCUUGAGUGGAAUAGGUAGAUGAAUAUUUUUAAGACAUUUAUUUUAUGGGCCCAUAAAAUAAAUGCUUCCGUAUUCUAAACCUAUACUGCAAAAGAGGCUAGGAAUUAGCGUGCCUGUCGAGGAAAACUCCUAGACUGUUCCCUUAGUGGAGAUAUAUUAGGGAUUAUAGUGCAGACUUAGUGGUGAUCUAGUUUUAUAUUUGGCGACAA
rnacentral:sRNA from 1 species